rnacentral:rRNA from 1 species
GACGAACGCUGGCGGCGUGCUUAACACAUGCAAGUCGAACGGAAAGGCCCUGCUUUUGUGGUUUUCUCGAGUGUCGAACGGGUGAGUAACACGUGAGUAACCUGCCCUUUACUUUGGGAUAACUUCAUUAAACUGGGGCUAAUACCGGAUAUGAGCUCCUGCUGCAUGGUUGGUUUUGUAAAGUUUCGGCGGUUUGGGAUGGACUCGCGGCUUAUCAGCUUGUUGGUGGGGUAGUGGCUUACAAAGGCUUUGACGGGUAGCCGGCCUGAGAGGGUGACCGGCCACAGUGUGACUGAGAAACGGGCAAGACGCCUACGGGAGGAAGCAGUGGGAAACAUAGCAAGAUGGGCGGAAGCAGGAUGGAGCAACGCCGCGUGCGAGAGGACGGCUGUCGGGUUGUAAACCGCGUUCGAGUGGGAAGAAGAGUGAGUGACGGUAAUGGGUAAAGAAGCAACGGCUAACUACGUG